ensembl:lncRNA
UGGUCUGGUACCAUCUCGGCAUGGUGGAGUAAUAUAAAUUACCAACUCAGUAACACAGUUUUGCUUAUACUGACCAAUCAGCCAUCUGUGGUUACAAAGUGUUAACGGGAAAAACCCAUUGAAUUUUAAGCUGACAGGGAGAGCAACAGGAGAGACCUUCUGUUCAAAGCAGAGUGCCUGAAUUAUGAUGAGUCUCUCUAGUUCCCAGGCACCAGAAAUCACACCCCACGAUCAGCUCCGUGAAGCCAUGUGGAAUUGUGUAACGUUGGGUUAGCGGCACAUGAUGUGCUUUUCUUUGAGUUGUCAAAAAACAUAUGAGUACACACUUCAAAACAGCCUUUUACUUCUAGUUUUGUGGGAAGUGAAAAGUUUGCAGGAAGGUGAGUAGCAAAUAUGGAGUGAAGCAGACAGCUUGGGCCUGAGUUAUUCAGUAGAGUUAGCUUCAAAACAGCAUUAUUCUGAUCACAGAGCCACUUUUGGCCCAGUUUCUGUUAGUAGUUGUCAAUUCUGAAGGUUAGCCUGUGCACACCUGGAUAUGACUUUAAAAGCCUAUCUGAAGCAAGAAUGGAUGUCAAUUAAAUUUCUAAAGGUUUACAGCUCCCAGCCAAAUCACCACUCACCUUUUCAAAAGCUUGAAUUUUUUUAAACUGAAGUGUGAUAUAUCACUUGUGUAGGAAACUAUACACAAAUUUCUUAUCUGAGAAACCCAGAACUAAGAAAGUAAAAACAAAAGACAAACAAAAAAACCCCCAACCAUACAGACUAUGGCGCUAGCAAGCUGUACUUAAAUUGUUUCACUGAUAUGUAGGUCAUUCUUUCAAGUUGGAAAUAUGGACUAUGCGCAGCUGGACUUUGAUGUUGCCUUUUUUUCCUCCUUGUCAUGCUGCUCACGAAUAGAACCCUGCAUUACAGGACAAGUAUCAUCAUUAACAUGUUGCAACUUAAAUCUGCCUGGACUGCCCAAACCUACAGAAAAGAGGAAACUAUCAAUGGUAUGGUUUGAAGAUGGUGCCCUUUAAGAGCUGAUCAUUUCAGCUCAGUUCAACAAAUAGUACAAAAAGAAGUAAAAAAGGAAGAGGCUAGUUAUUAAUGCCCAUUUGGUGUUUUCAUCACCAGUUUAAAAAAUACACGUUUAAAUAUACAGGCAAAUAACCUCUUGUCAAUAGCUUGUUUCUCUUCUCCCUGAAACCUUGCCAUUUUGUCUCUGUGACCACCCUCACCUUGCAGUUGGCAUGCACAGUCCCAAAUUACUGCUGAAGUUGCCAGCCAGCAUCACUGUUCCUUGUCUGAGUCCCAACCCUGACUGAGAGUCUCAGUCCAAAGAAUCUAGCUUCUUUUUUAUGCAGCUCAUCUAGGCUGACAUCAGUCUCCUUCAAGGCAAGAAAUAUGCUUGCUUUGAGAGAUGUGCAUCAAUUCUAACUUCCACCUUGCCUCUCUAAUGUCACAAGAGUUCAAAUCUGAGGCUGAUUUCACAUAAUCAAGACUGUCUGGAAUGUUUUCAUAAACAACAGUUGUAACAAAACAUCUAUUUACUCCAUGAAAAAUUGAAGAAACUGGUGAACUUUUGCUUUCCAGUCACAAAUGACCACAAGGCCCUGAGAUUGAAAGAACCGUGUGAAGUAAAGCUCGGUUGCAUCUGUCAAAUCAGAAGAAUAUUUUACUUUUAGAGAAAAAGCUUGUUUUGGCAUGAUGAUAUUUAUUGGUAAUAUCUGAUUGGAUAACUUUCCAUUAUCUUUAUCAGUAGGUAAUGAUAAAGCAUAGAGAAGAUAGCUUCUGCUUUAGUGUUUUCACCUUGAGUGAAUAAAAGCUGAAGACGUGAGGAGAUUGUGAAAUGU